rnacentral:miRNA from 1 species
GCCAGGGCCAUGAAUGCAGA